AGGGCGCAUGGCGGAUGCCUUGGCUCUCGGAGGCGAUGAAGGACGUGAUAAGCUGCGAUAAGCUGCGGGUAGGUGCAAAUGACCUUUGAUCCGCGGAUUUCCGAAUGGGACAACCCGGUACCUUGAAGAGGUACCAUUCCACAAUGUGGAAGGCUAACGCAGGGAACUGAAACAUCUUAGUACCUGCAGGAAAAGAAAAUAAACAAUGAUUCCCCCAGUAGUGGCGAGCGAACGGGGAACAGCCCAAACCACCCAUGUUACGGCAUGUGUGGGGUUGUAGGACCACGUCGUGGCAAGAAAGUUGGUGAGCAGAAUGUUCUGGAAAGUACAGCCAUAGAGCAUGACAGCUGCGUAUGCGAAGCCAAGCGAAGCCUAGUGGUAUCCUGAGUAGCGCGGAGCACGAGGAAUUCUGCGUGAAUCUGCCGGGACCAUCCGGUAAGGCUAAAUACUCCCGAGAGACCGAUAGCGAACCAGUACCGUGAGGGAAAGGUGAAAAGCACUUCGAACAGAAGAGUGAAAUAGUUCCUGAAACCGUGCGCCUACAAGCGGUCGGAGCUCGUUAAUGAGUGACGGCGUGCCUUUUGCAUAAUGAACCUACGAGUUGCCUUUGCCGGCAAGGUUAAGUGUGACGACACACGUAUCCGAAGCGAAAGCGAGUCUGAAUAGGGCGUAUAGUCGGCAGUGGCAGACGCGAAACCAAGUGAUCUACCCUUGGCCAGGUUGAAGGCUGGGUAACACCAGCUGGAGGACCGCACCAAUAAGCGUUGAAAAGCUUCUGGAUGAGCUGAGGGUAGGGGUGAAAGGCUAAUCAAACUUGGAGAUAGCUCGUACUCCCCGAAAUGCAUUUAGGUGCAGCCUUGUGGGUUACUGAUGUGAGGUAGAGCGACUGAUAAGAUGCGAGGGCUUCACCGCCUAUCAAGUCUUGACAAACUCCGAAUGCGCAUCAGUUUUACCUCAGGAGUGAGGGCAUGGGUGCUAAGGUCCGUGCCCGAGAGGAGAAGAAUCCGGACCACCUGCUAAGGUCCCGAAAUGACAGCUAAGUUAAACUAACGAAGUCUGACUGCUAAGACAGCUAGGAUGUUGGCUUGGAAGCAGCCAUUCAUUUAAAGAGUGCGUAACAGCUCACUAGUCGAGGAGUCUGGCGUGGAUAAUAAUCGGGUAUUAAGUUGUCUACCGAAGCAGUGGGAUCAUUGAAAUGAUCGGUAGGGGAGCAUUCCAGUCAGCGUCGAAGGCGUACCGCGAGGUAUUCUGGAGCGUCUGGAAAAGCAAAUGUAGGUAUAAGUAACGAUAAAGGGGGCGGGAAACCCCCUCGCCGAAAGACUAAGGUUUCCUGAUCAACGCUAAUCGGAUCAGGGUAAGUCGGGUCCUAAGGCUCAGCCGAACGGCGAGGCCGAUGGCAGAACCGGUUAAUAUUCCGGUACUACCUGUGGGAGUGACGUGGAGACGGAGUCGUGACAGCGCCGCGGACUGACGGAAUAGUCCGUUGAAGGGUGUAGAUGCUGAUUGUUCCAGGCAAAUCCGGAGCAAGAGUCGAACCUGACAGUAUGGAGCGUUCUUAGAACAAUCCAAUAGUGCGUGUAAUCAUACUUCCAAGAAAAUCCGCUAAACUUAAUCCUGCAGGUACCCGUACCGCAAACGGACACACGUAGUCGGGUUGAAUAUACUAAGGCGCUUGAGUGAUUCACGGUUAAGGAACUAGGCAAACUGACCCUGUAACUUCGGGAUAAAGGGUCCUCGCUUAACGGCGAGGCGCAGAGAAUAGGUCCAGGCAACUGUUUAACAAAAACACAGGGCUGUGCAAAAUUGAAAGAUGAAGUAUACAGCCUGACACCUGCCCGGUGCUGGAAGGUUAAGAGGAGAUGUCAUCGCAAGAGAAGCAUUGAAUUGAAGCCCCAGUAAACGGCGGCCGUAACUAUAACGGUCCUAAGGUAGCGAAAUUCCUUGUCGGGUAAGUUCCGACCUGCACGAAUGGUGUAAUGAUCUGGACGCUGUCUCAACCGUGAGCUCAGUGAAAUUGUAGUAUCGGUGAAGAUGCCGAUUACCCGCGAUGGGACGAAAAGACCCCGUGAACCUUUACUAUAGCUUAACAUUGAAUUUGGGUAAUUGAUGUGUAGGAUAGGCCGGAGGCUUUGAAGCGGGCACGCCAGUGUCCGUGGAGCCGCUGUUGAAAUACGGCCCUUUGAUUAUUUGAGUUCUAACCCGUUGUUGCGGGGACACUGUUUGGUGGGUAGUUUGACUGGGGUGGUCGCCUCCAAAAGUGUAACGGAGGCUUCUAAAGGUGCCCUCACGACGAUUGGUAACCGUCGGCAGAGUGUAAUGGCAUAAGGGCGCUUGACUGGGAGACUUACAAGUCGAUCAGG
rnacentral:rRNA from 1 species